GGAGUUGUGGCUCAGUGGUAGAGCGCUUGCCUAGCAUGUAUGAGGCACUGGGUUUGAUUCUCAGCACCA
rnacentral:tRNA from 2 species